rnacentral:lncRNA from 1 species
UCAAGUGUCAUUUCUUUAUUCCUUAAUCCAUCAUGAGUUAUAUAGUCGAAUCCUAGAGUAUGGUUAGGUUAGUUGGUGGGAGAUGAGAUGAUUUAAUUCUCUACACUUAGCCAUUUCAUUCAUUUCAUUUCUUAAGUCUAGAGAGAAAAGAGAGAGCAAGAGAAAGAGAAGCAAAAGAGUUUAGUGAGAUAGAGAGAGUAGUCGAAUAGAAGAAGAAGAAGAUGGAGUAAGCUUUUCUCAAUCUUUAGCUAGCUAAGAAGGAAAAGAGGAGCAUCAAAGGUAAGAAAUCCUAGAAACUCAUCUUUUUCAUUUUAUUUCUUUUAAAAGCUUUGUAGCAUGAUAUGAAAUGCUUUGUUGUUCAAUGCUUUAGUUUGAUAAUUAUCAUUGAAGGAUCUUGGAGAGAUAAGGCCGCUUGUGGUUUAGAUAUGUUAAAUCACUUGUUAAUAUGUAUAAAAAGUGAAAAUGAAACCUAAAAUCACAAGCCUAAGCGUAAAUAAUGGAAAACAACAUAGAGGACUUUAAUAUUGGACUUAUAAAUGUUUUUUUUGUUUAUUGUUUGUGAAAUUUGACAAGAAGGAUUUUUAAAUAAGGAAGUUAUGGAGAAGUUCCAAGUGGAAUGGAGGAAAAAUACGUUAUCACGAAGUUAUGGCUAAUUUUUUCGUAAAAGGUGUCAAAUGUGAAAAAUCCUAGCUUGGUACCCUUUGUGGGCCAAAUGUAUGGGUAGUUAACGCUUCCGUGAAAUUAUUUCUUUCUGGGAUAAAUGUAGUUGGGUGAAAACGUGAAUCGUGGACUCAAGAACGAGCUCAAUCCGACUUCGGAUGAGUAAGUUACGAAGUUUAGAAAAUUGGACGUUAAAGCGUCAUUUCAGUAUAAAACUGGCUCAUGAGGGAGUUUUGAGCCGAUUUCCUGAAAAUUUAAAGAAUUGUGAAAAAAUAAAUUGUCCUGGGGGAUUUGAAGAAUUUGUUACAAGAAAGAAAUAGACACAAGAACGAUCUUAUUCCGAUAUCGAACUAGCAAGUUAUGAUGUUUCAAAGUAGACGCAUUGAAAAUUUUCAAAACUGAAAAUUUGAAAAAAUCAAACAUUUUGGCCGAACAACUCCCUGCCUCCCAGAGGCUAGAGCUCUUGUCUAGGCUUAUUUGAAGCGCCUAGAGCUCUAGCCACUUUUUAGGCCAAAAGUCAGCCUGGACAUGCUUCACUAAAUCAAGAAUAACUUUUUCAUAUGAACUCCGAUUGAAGUUAUUCAAGAUGAUUCGAAGAGAUAAGGAGUAGAACUAGAACUUUCAUUCUUUAAGUGUUGAUAAUUGAGGUCGGGAACAAUUUCCAAAUUGGGCAUUUGUAGGGCUGUUGUGCAAUAGGUGGCAAACCAUGGUAGUUUCUUUGAACUAUUGUGGUGUCGAGCCAUGUUUGACUAGCAUUUUCGAGUUCUAAACAUUGAACAUUGAGAAUAUAAUUUAGAGAAAGGUAAACCAAGGAAUGGUAGAUGUAUUGGAUGUAUUAAUUAUACUCAAUGGCGUGUCGGUUAAGCGUUCGAUGUAGAAAAGUCAGGUGCACGACGUACGAAUGUCGAAACACCGAGUCGAAUAUUAAUGAACUUAAAUAAUGCUCAGAGUUUAAUGAAACUAGCUUUAUAAAACAUGGAAUAGGAUUAUAGUAAACCUUGCGUGACAUUUAUACGUGACUAAUUGGUAUGUCUAUGUGCACUAAAUGUGCAGGACUUUUAAAGGGCGAUUAACGUCAAGGUAUAGAAGACGCUUGAGGCAAGUUUCCUAAACUUACUUCAACUUUAUUGAGCAAGUAUUCUAACUCCAUUCAAAUUUUGUUUGAAUGUCAGUUUUUGAGUAUAUAUUCUUAUGAAUAAUUCUUAUGUACGCUUCGGUUUACACAAUAUUUAUCGAUUUUGCAACCUUCAAACUUGUACAAACUCUCGAUUAAUUGUUUAAGUGUUUAGCUAUGCUAUAAUGCAUAAAUUGUUUCACGAUUUGCUAUAAUGCAUAAAUUGUUCAAGUUUUGUAAUAACAUAAACUGUUCAAGUUUUAAAGUUCUUAUACUCAUGAAUUGUUUAAGUGUUAUGUCAAUGACAAUUGUAUUGGUUAUAUACAUGUUAAAAUAUUUUAUUGAUUUGAAUACCAUUCUUUGACAUGUUAUUUGGAUUAGGUAGAGCUGUCCACCCAGAUUGUUUUGGGGUUCGGACUCCAGCCUGAGAUGAACAACCCUAAUAUUGGGGGUUUUUUUACGUCAAAAAAAUCCCGACAAACCCUUGAGGUGGUCACACAAACACAUAUAGUCGUUUAGCCAAAGUGUUAUACAACAUAGGGUACACUGGGCUGAUCACCUAACGUGCCCGUAAGCCAGAUCAGUUCAUAGUUGAAUUUCUGUUGAACCCUUGAGAGAACAAAAAUGUGCGAGGUCUUUUGACCGUUCAGUAUUUCGUUUCAAAAAUGUUAGAUAAAAAAGGAAUUUAUUAUUUUUAUUCCUAUUUAUUCGGAAUGUUUUCACAAUUAUUAUUCAAUUGUUGAAAUAGUAGCGUGAUUCUAAAUUUUGUUGUUUAUUCAAUUGUUUAUACUUGCUGAACUUUAUAGCUCACCCUUACUUUAAAUUAAAUAUUUUUCAGCGAAGCUAGAGCAGAUUGAAGGUUUCGGUAAGGACAAAGGGAAAGAAAAGGUGGACGAGUAGAAGAUAGCUGUAAAUAUUUGUAAUAAUUAGUAGUAUUGUAAUAAAUACUUAAUACUUUAUCAUGUGUUGAAGACUUAAAUGUUUGAGAACCUGGGAUUUAGAGUGAGACAUAUUAUAAUAAUUAGAAGUUGCAUUUAUGCCAUUCUGUUAGAUGAGAAGUACCAUUGAACAUUAUAUUCACAGUUUAAAGGUACUCAGAUUUGGGGCAUCACAAGCAGCGCUGCAUAGCAGCCACGCGCAUGCACAACGCGUCACACGUCGCCCGCACGCUGCCUAAUCGCUCUUAUUUCUAGCUUUGGUGAUCUCAACGCCCUUACUUUGGCACUUCUUAACUAGGUUGUAUGAACUCAGAAUUAGUCCGUUCUUGAGGCUAUAAUUGGUUGGGAUUGCACUUUACAAAACCCCACAAUAUCAUAAUUUUUUGGAAACUCUAAAUAGUCAAAACAGUGGUCCAAAAGUCCCCUCUUGCGCUGAUUUGUAGUUUGGCAGUUUUGAUGCGCCUACUUCUGAACGUCAUAACUCAUUCGUCCAACAUCGAAAUGG